rnacentral:rRNA from 1 species
CAGUCGCCGCGGUAAUGCGAAGGGUGCAAGCGUUAAUCGGAAUUACUGGGCGUAAAGCGUGCGUAGGCGGUGAGUUAAGUCUGCUGUGAAAUCCCCGGGCUCAACCUGGGAGUGGCAAUGGAUACUGGCUCGCUAGAGUGUGUCAGAGGAUGGUGGAGUUCCCGGUGUAGCGGUGAAAUGCGUAGAGAUCGGGAGGAACAUCAGUGGCGAAGGCGGCCAUCUGGGACAACACUGACGCUGAGGCACGAAAGCGUGGGGAGCAAACAGGAUUAGAUACCCCCGUAGUCCCUGUCUCUUAUAU